rnacentral:rRNA from 1 species
GACGAACGCUGGCGGCGUGCCUAAUACAUGCAAGUUGAGCGCUGAAGGUUGGUACUUGUACCGACUGGAUGAGCAGCGAACGGGUGAGUAACGCGUGGGGAAUCUGCCUUUGAGCGGGGGACAACAUUUGGAAACGAAUGCUAAUACCGCAUAAAAACUUUAAACACAAGUUUUAAGUUUGAAAGAUGCAUUUGCAUCACUCAAAGAUGAUCCCGCGUUGUAUUAGCUAGUUUGGGAGGUAAAGGCUCACCAAGGCGAUGAUACAUAGCCGACCUGAGAGGGGGAUAGGCCAAAUUGGGACUGAGACACGGCCCAAAAUCCUACGGGAGGCCGCAGGAGGGAAUCUUCGGCAAUGGAAGAAAGUCUGAACGAGCAACGCCGCGUGAGUGAAGAAGGUUUUCGGAUCGUAAAACUCUGUUGGUAGAGAAGAACGUUGGUGAGAGUGGAAAGCUCAUAAAGUGACGGUAACUACCCAGAAAGGGACGGCUAACUACGUG